rnacentral:rRNA from 1 species
UACGUAGGGUGCAAGCGUUGUCCGGAAUUAUUGGGCGUAAAGAGCUCGUAGGCGGUCUGUCGCGUCUGGUGUGAAAACUCAGGGCUUAACCCUGGGCUUGCAUCGGGUACGGGCAGACUAGAGUGCGGUAGGGGAGACUGGAAUUCCUGGUGUAGCGGUGAAAUGCGUAGAUAUCUGGAGGAACACCGGUGGCGAAGGCGACAUCCUGGACCAACACUGACGCUGAGUGAGCGAAAGCCAGGGGAGCAAACGGG